UUUACCCUGCGCUGUGCGACAGGAUCUCGGAUGUAUUGAACCACAAAACAAUACUACGGGAGCCGGUCACCUGUUGGCGCGCCUUCGGCGGCCUCAAACUGGCACCCACUUGAGAAUGAUGGUUCUCAUUUACACCAGAUUCAACGGCAGAGGCGGGGUUUUU
rnacentral:other from 1 species